UACGUAGGGGGCAAGCGUUGUCCGGAUUUACUGGGCGUAAAGAGCGUGUAGGCGGCCACGCAGGUCCGUUGUGAAAACUGGAGGCUCAACUUCCAGCCGUCGACGGAAACCGUGUGGCUAGAGUCCGGAAGAGGAGAGUGGAAUUCCUGGUGUAGCGGUGAAAUGCGCAGAUAUCAGGAAGAACACCCGUGGCGAAGGCGGCUCUCUAGUACGGUACUGACGCUGAGACGCGAAAGCGUGGGGAGCGAACAGG
rnacentral:rRNA from 1 species